GACGAACCGUGCGAACGUUGUUCGGAAUCACUGGGCUUAAAGGGCGCGUAGGCGGGCCGACAAGUCAGGGGUGAAAUCCUCCAGCUUAACUGGAGAACUGCCUUUGAUACUGGCGGUCUGGAGUAAGGUAGGGGCAUGCGGAACUGAUGGUGGAGCGGUGAAAUGUGUUGAUAUCAUCAGGAACUCCGGUGGCGAAAGCGGCGUGCUGGACCUUUACUGACGCUGAGGCGCGAAAGCCAGGGGAGCAAACGGG
rnacentral:rRNA from 1 species